UACAGAGGGGGCAAGCGUUGUUCGGAAUUACUGGGCGUAAAGGGCGCGUAGGCGGCCUUCUAAGUCGAACGUGAAAUCCCUGGGCUCAACCCAGGAACUGCGUCCGAUACUGGAAGGCUUGAAUCCGGGAGAGGGAUGCGGAAUUCCAGGUGUAGCGGUGAAAUGCGUAGAUAUCAAGAGGAACACCUGCGGCGAAGGCGGGUUGCUGGGCCGACACUGACGCUGAGGCGCGAAAGCCAGGGGAGCGAACGGG
rnacentral:rRNA from 1 species